rnacentral:rRNA from 1 species
GACGAACGCUGGCGGCGUGUCUAACACAUGCAAGUCGAGCGAUGAAGUUCCUUCGGGAACGGAUUAGCGGCGGACGGGUGAGUAACACGUGGGCAACCUGCCUUAUAGAGGGGAAUAGCCUUCCGAAAGGAAGAUUAAUACCGCAUAAGAUUGUAGCUUCGCAUGAAGUAGCAAUUAAAGGAGUAAUCCGCUAUAAGAUGGGCCCGCGGCGCAUUAGCUAGUUGGUGAGGUAACGGCUCACCAAGGCGACGAUGCGUAGCCGACCUGAGAGGGUGAUCGGCCACAUUGGGACUGAGACACGGCCCAGACUCCUACGGGAGGCAGCAGUGGGGAAUAUUGCACAAUGGGGGAAACCCUGAUGCAGCAACGCCGCGUGAGUGAUGACGGCCUUCGGGUUGUAAAGCUCUGUCUUUGGGGACGAUAAUGACGGUACCCAAGGAGGAAGCCACGGUUAACUACGUGCCAGCAGCCGCGGUAAUACGUAGGUGGCAAGCGUUGUCCGGAUUUACUGGGCGUAAAGGGAGCGUAGGCGGAUUUUUAAGUGGGAUGUGAAAUACCCGGGCUCAACCUGGGUGCUGCAUUCCAAACUGGAAAUCUAGAGUGCAGGAGGGGAAAGUGGAAUUCCUAGUGUAGCGGUGAAAUGCGUAGAGAUUAGGAAGAACACCAGUGGCGAAGGCGACUUUCUGGACUGUAACUGACGCUGAGGCUCGAAAGCGUGNGGAGCAAACAGG